rnacentral:rRNA from 1 species
GUAAGGAAUAUUGGUCAAUGGAGGCAACUCUGAACCAGCCAUGCCGCGUGCAGGAAGACGGCCCUCUGGGUUGUAAACUGCUUUUAUCCGGGAAUAAACCUGCCUUCGUGAAGGUAGCUGAAUGUACCGGAAGAAUAAGGAUCGGCUAACUCCGUGCCAGCAGCCGCGGUAAUACGGAGGAUCCAAGCGUUAUCCGGAUUUAUUGGGUUUAAAGGGUGCGUAGGCGGCCUGUUAAGUCAGGGGUGAAAGACGGUGGCUAAACCAUCGCAGUGCCCUUGAUACUGAUGGGCUUGAAUGGACUAGAGGUAGGCGGAAUGUGACAAGUAGCGGUGAAAUGCAUAGAUAUGUCACAGAACACCGAUUGCGAAGGCAGCUGACUGAGCCUUGAUUGACGCUGAGGUACGAAAGUGUGGGUAGCGAACAGGAUUAGAUACCCGAGUAGUCC